CUCAUCUCCACAUGCCUAAGAUGUUCGGCUGAUCUUCUCCACCUCUUCUCUCUAUUCCUCCACUAUACACCUACGGUAGGCUACUUUAUCCCAUGCCUAAAGGAGUUGGGCUGAUCCAAUGUACGCUUGAAGGUGUUUAGGCACCAUCCAACUGAAGGAAGAAGAAGGCCGCAUCUGUUAGUCCCGACGAUCAGAUCAUCAUUGAUCGAGAGCCCAAAUCCAACUUGAGAAGGUGGAUCAGAUUUGGAGAAGGCAUCCUAGAUUGAGUUCG
rnacentral:lncRNA from 1 species